GAUGAACGCUGGCGGCGUGCUUAACACAUGCAAGUCGAACGGUCAAGCGCCUUCCUUUCUGGUGGGAGUGUAUGAGUGGCGAACGGGGGAGUAACACGUGAGUAACCUGCCCCCUUCUUCUGGAUAACCGCAUGAAAGUGUGGCUAAUACGGGAUAUACUGAGCCUGUCGCAUGAUGAGUCUGGGAAAGAUUUUGUUUCGGUGGGGGAUGGGGCCGCGGCCUAUCAGCUUGUUGGUGGGGUGAUGGCCUACCAAGGCGGUGACGGGUAGCCGGCCUGAGAGGAUGGACGGCAACACUAGGGCGAAGAGACGGACAAGACUACUGGGGGAGGCAGCAGUGAGGAAUAUUGCACGAGGGGAGCAAGGCUGGUGCAGCGCCGCGGGGUGAAGGAUGGAGGCCUUCGGGUUGUAAACCUCUUUCGCGAGAGAAGAAGGGCUGCAGCGCUUGUGCGUGGGUUGACGGUAGCUAAAUAGAAAGCGCCGGCUAACUACGUG
rnacentral:rRNA from 1 species